UGUUGACCUCAUUGAGCCGUCUAAACCCAAUAUUUCCCUCUUAAACCACUGCGGCAACAGGUAGGGCUUUUACGUGCAUCUUUCUCUCUCAUAACAAAGACAGAAAUGGCGAAAACAAAGAGCGUGGAGAAUGCAGAGAAGUUGGUGGAGAAAAACAUGAAAGGAAACGAUGCCUCUCAUGAUGCAUCGCACGUGUCGAGGGUCAGGGAUCUUGCUCUCUCCCUCGCCCGUGAGGAAGGCUUAUCUUCUAACCCCGAUUCCAUGGAAAUCGUAGAGCUUGCUGCACUUCUUCAUGAUAUAGGUCAUUCUCUGUCCUGUGCUUACUUGCAGAAAUGCACAAGUUCAUAUCCAGGAAGUUAAAAAUUGUAUGAUUGUAUUUGUACAUUUUGCACAUGUUUUUCAUUAGUAUGAGGAAUUUGGAUGGUGACCUAGGCCUUCAAAAAUGGAUUUUAUGUGGACUUAUCGGUUAUAGAGGGUGAACUGUGAUCUCAAAGUUAAUAUGCUCCAGUGCAUAUUUUUUCAUUUCGUUGGUAAAUUAUUUGCCUAUUUAUUUGUGCUUUUGGUAUCUUUGGGUGCAAUUUUCUAGUAUUACAUUUCAAAUCUAACCGUAUCAUUACUUUCUCAUAGACUUUAGUUAAUCCUAGAAUGAGCAUGGAUGAUUAUAGAAGCAAACUUAUAAUGUUUUUUUUUUUCUCUUUGGUUGAUUUUAAUUAUAUCCUCUCUAUAUUUGUGCUUUUUAUUGUUUUAUGUUAUUUGUUGGUAUUUUUGCUCUAUUGAUCAUUUUUCUUUUUUCAAACUUAUUGCAGGUGACUAUAAAUACUUGAGGUUUGUAGUUCCCUUCUUACUUAACUUGAGGAAGCAAUUCCUAUUUGUCUUUUAUAUAUUUAUACUUUUUUCUAUUGUCUGUAAGUGUUGUGCUAGGCAUCUAAUUUGCAUUGCCUCUUGCUUCUAACAAAACUGUACCCAAAAUAUCUGUUGUGCUUUUAUGUUUUUACAGAUACUGAACAAAUCCUUUAUAUUGUUUGCACAAUCUCAUAAUUGUGCUCAUGAAGUUAAUCUUGUUGGCAUUUAUAUAAAUAUACCUGUGGUCAAUCGUAAUAAUGGGCCAGUCUAUAUAAUUACUAGUGUAUGGAUGCAUAUGUACCAUUUAAUUUUGUUCACGCAAGUUUCUAAUCUCCUGCUAUCAGCAAAUCAAAUCCAAUCAAUUGCAUUAGCAACAGAGUUCAAUGCUGCUUUUUACAUCCAAAACUAAAAAAAUUAAGUUAAUAGUAAUUUGACAGACUUUUAUCUAUCUGUUUUCUUUUCAUCUUUUGAAAGGGCUUAUAUUCUUGAAUUUACUCUUUCUAAUUUCCUGAAUGUUUGAGCUUCUAUUUUGACAUCUAGAGAUCAAUCUGAAGAGCAAAUUGUUGAGAAAUUUCUGGAGGAAGAGGGUGUGGAUGAAAUAAAGAAGAUGAAGAUCUUAGCAAUCAUCAAGGGGAUGGGUAAAUUACUCUGAUUUACUGUAGUUCUGUGUCAAAUUCUAAUUUGAGUUUAUGAUAGAGUUAGCAAUUGCGGAAUGACUUCAGUAGGGAUGAAAUGGAAAUUAUGGCAAUACAGAUCACUAAUAAACACCCUUCUCUAGAAUUAUGAAUACCACACCAGAACUAUCACUAUAAAGGUCAAAAAACAAUAAAAUGAGGAAAUUAAACCAAGAGAUGCUUCUGUGCAGACUUCAGUCUCUGCCCCAAACAAUCACCUGUUACUCAACAAUAAUUCACCUCCUGCCUUUUUCAUUUUCCCUGCUCCUUGUAGACGUCUCCAAUGCUUUUGCAUUGCAAUUUCUAGGUGGUGUAGUUUCCACAAAUUCUCUAACAAAUUCAACUCCUUCCCAGUGCAGCCUUUCAGCCAUUGUUAUAAAAAACUGGACCAGCGCCAGGUGGGUUGACCAAGUGAAUCAUUGACCCAUACACAAGACCAGGCCAGUUCUUUAGUUGAACCGGACAAGUAUAUAACUUGGAAAAAAUUAGGUGAUCUGGUGGUUGAACCAGCAACUCGUGUGAACCAAUGAUCCAAUGACCUGGCUAAUUUAUUUUUUAAAUGAAAAUUUUUUGAAAUAUCAAUGAUAUUGUCAUUCUAAUAUUUAAAAAUUUAAAUUGAUAUCGAGUUAAUAGAUAAGAAGUUAUUUAGCUAUUAUCUUUCCAUUUAUAGUAAUGCAAUAAAUUUUAUAAAAUGAUAUGUUUA
rnacentral:misc_RNA from 1 species